GGCUCAGUGGUUAAGAGCACUGGCUCCUCUUCCAGAGGACCUGGGUUCAAUUCCCAG
rnacentral:tRNA from 1 species